UGUUGUUAUUAUUCUUUUAGAGCGAAUUUCGUAGGCGUGUGUUGCCACAGUAACGAACUAUGUGUUACCAAACCCGACAUAAAUUAAAAGAAGAAACAACAAAAUAGAUGAACAUCCUGAUAUCUGCUGUAUAAAACCUAAUAAUACGACGUUUACAACUGUCAAAUUAUUAUACACCUGACGUUUUGAAAACUGUAUCGAGCCACCUUAAUUUCGUGAACAUUAAAUUUCGUGAACAUUCGUUUUCGUGAAAGAUAAGUCAAUUUUUGUACCGAGAUUCAAGAAAGACCGGAUCCACUAGCUUCGCCAAUUAUGCAAAGCUGAAGCAAAGAAAACGAUUAUAUUUAUUUUACCACGCGAACCUAUAAGGUCAAGGAUGUUAUUAAUUGUGCACGUAGUUAAUACAAUGGUACCAAAUAUCUUUAAAGUGAGAUACAAUUAAAAAAACAAUUAAAGUAAAAAAACAAAACAAAAUGAGUGAUAGCGAUUAUCUUUUUAUCUCCAAAAUAUGGAAAAAAGAAUAUUCUCGAUCAGUACUAAAUAUUUUUAGCUUCAGCGUAAUUGUCAUGUGCGAUAUUUGCCCAUGGGCAUGUCCGAGAAAAUGACCAAUUUGCAUAUAGAAAAUUAUGCAGCAAAACAGGCA